UCUGGGUUUGGCCAGUGUAGGCUGUCAUUGUAACUAAGAAUUUGUUCUAACUGACUUGCCUUGUUAAAUAAAAAAACAUAUUCAGCAGAAACAGGUACAGAACAACAUAAAUAUAGUCGGAUUUGUUUAAAAUAAUUGUCUGAAGUUGUCAUGUGUUCUGACUUCCAGCUCUAUGUGAGCCAGGUGGAGGCUUAUCUACAGAUGUGUGACUUCCAGUCUACAGCCAUCAGCUGCAGACAUGCCUGCCUCCUGGAGCCUCAGGCUAAGGCCCUCCACAAACCUCUGGCCUGCUGUGACUUUCUUAGAACAGUCUGGGAAAACAUUCAGACAUAAUGAUCAUCCCUACAGAGUCAAGCACGCACCCAGCACUAUUGAAUUACCUCUUGCUUUCACUUGAAAAAACUUUGUAAAAAUCUGAUAGCACCCUUUUUAUAUAUCUCAUCUGAAAACUGUUGUAAUUGUCUUGUUUAGAGAAUAGAGAUAAUAUUGAGUUUUGUCCACUUCACAGGGGAUGUUCCUGGAUGCUCUGGAGUUGUUUGCCAAGGCCUUGCUGCUGGUCAUAUCACAUGAUGAGGGGUAUUCUGUACCGCAGGCUGAAAGACUUCACUUCUGUCAUUGAGGACCUGGUCCUGGCUGUGGAGCUGAGUGAGGCUUGAGUCCAGGGGGCGGAGCCGAGCGGACACACCCAGGAAAAACUGAGGGCCGUGCAGGAGGAGGCCCAGGCCCAGCUGGUGCUCGCCUAUAACGACUUUGCCGUGCCGAGCUUCUUCCCAUAACUUCUACGCCGAGGAAACCAUGCUGCUCAGCAAGGCCGUCCGGGAGCAGAAGGAGGAAAGCGGCCUCCACAUUAACAGAGGAGCAGGACGAGUGGGAGUUUGCCCUGGCUGACUACCAGCAGGCGGAGGAGAUGUCUCCUGAUGACCAGGCCAUCUGGAUCCGCCUCGCUGUCAUCCUCAACACCCUGGGCACACACUGCUACCAGGACUGGUGAGUCUCAGUCUGUCAUCCAUAACACUGUGUAUUGUCUUCACCGCAGGAAGUACCAUGAGGCAGCUCUGACAAGUUCCUUGAGGCCAUCAAGUACAACCCUGGAGUCAGCCAGUACUAUGAGAACUGGGCCAAACCCCACCGUAAAGUGCCCAACGUGGAGGGGGCCAAGCAGGAUGCCAUCAGUACCCUUCUCCUGGACCCCACUAAU